UGUUGUUUCUGCUGCUCAGGGAGAGGAGUCCUUCCACUGCUCUUGUGGGGUCCCUCCCAUGGGAGACAGUCCUUGAUGGACCUCUCUGGUUGAACCAUCCGACCACAAGGCGUUCCUGCAUCCAGACCCACAGCAGGAAGCAGAGGAGAGGAGCAGAGCAGUCCACUCCUGCAGUGCUACCAAAGCCAGGCUGAUCCCACAGCAGCUCCCAUAAAGGGCACCUCACAUGCACUCAAAGAUGUAAGAAGGCAGACUCUCCGAGAAUUCCCAGAUGGGGUAUGCACAACGUGUUGCUAUUAUGCUGCUUGAUGGAUUUCAGAAUGGUUCCACUUUGGAAAGGAGGCGAAAGAAACGAAACCACUUUACUACUUUCACUUGGCUGCCAGAGGAUAUUUUGAGACAUUUUGUAACCAGAUAGUCUGAGGGGUUUCAAUAAGGGCAAGAAAGAAAAUAGAUCUUCAAUGAAAUGUAAGGACUGAAAUAUCAUUCAGGGUACUUCAUACAUCGACUGAGCUCAUGUGCACGCAUGACUGAAAAAGUCAUUAAAAAGAUGGGUCUCAACUGC